GACGAACGCUGGCGGCGUGCUUAACACAUGCAAGUCGAACGGUGAAGCGCCUUCCUUUUUGGUGGGUGUGGAUGAGUGGCGAACGGGGGAGUAACACGUGAGUAACCUGCCCCCUUCUUCUGGAUAACCGCAUGAAAGUGUGGCUAAUACUGGAUAUUCUGGGUCUGUCGCAUGAUGGGUCUGUGAAAGCUAUUGUUUCGGUAGGGGAUGGUCUCGCGGCCGAUCAGCUUGUUGGUGGGGUGAUGGCCUACCAAGGCGGCGAUGGGGAGCCGGCCGGAGGGGAGGGUGGACCGCCAUGGUGGGGAGGAGACAUGGCCCAGCCUCCGGCGGGCGGCAGAAGGGGAGAAUAGUGAACAAUGGGAGGAAUCCUGAUGCAGUGCCGCGGCGGUAGAGAGGGAGGCCUUGGUGUUGUGAACUUCUGUUGGGAGAGAAGCAGGCCUGCCUGGUAUGUGGCUGGGUUGACGGUAGCUGGAGAAGAAGCGCCGGCUAACUACGUG
rnacentral:rRNA from 1 species